rnacentral:rRNA from 1 species
GACAGAGGUGCCGAGCGUUAGGCGGAAUCACUGGGCUUAAAGCGUGUGUAGGCGGGCGGCCAAGUACCUUGUGAAAUCCCACGGCUUACCCGUGGAACGGCUGGGUAUACUGGUUGUCUUGAGCCACUUAGGGGCUACCGGAACAAAUGGUGGAGCGGUGAAAUGCGUAGAUAUCAUUUGGAACGCCAAUGGUGAAAACAGGUAGCUGGGAGUGUGCUGACGCUGAGACACGAAAGCCAGGGGAGCGAACGGG